AUGCUCACUUCAGCAGCACAUAUACUAAAAUUGGAAGUAUACAGAGAAGAUUAACAUGGCCCCUGAGCAAGGAUGACAUGCAUAUUUAUGAAGCAUCCCAUAUAUUU